rfam:Trachymyrmex septentrionalis contig24164, whole genome shotgun sequence.
CAAAUGGCCCUUUUCAGGGCCCCAAAAUAUUCAUACGAUGGUACG